rnacentral:rRNA from 1 species
CACGUAGUUAGCCGUGGCUUUCUCAUAAGGUACCGUCAAUUGAUAGUCAUUUCCUCCUGUCACCUUUCUUCCCUUAUAACAGAAUUUUACAACCCGAAGGCCUUCUUCAUUCACGCGGCGUUGCUCGGUCAGGCUUUCGCCCAUUGCCGAAGAUUCCCUACUGCUGCCUCCCGUAGGAGUCUGGGCCGUGUCUCAGUCCCAGUGUGGCCGUUCACCCUCUCAGGUCGGCUACGCAUCGUCGCCUUGGUAGGCCUUUACCCCACCAACUAGCUAAUGCGCCGCAGGCUCAUCCAUCAGUGAUGCCAGGAGCAUCUUUAAACUUUCGUCCUAUCCGGUAUUAGCGAUCGUUUCCAAUCGUUGUCCCCGUCUGAUGGGCAGAUCACCUACGUGUUACUCACCCGUUCGCCGCUUCCCACCGAAGUGGUUCGCUCGACUUGCAUGUAUUAGGCACGCCGCCAGCGUUCAUCCUGAGCCAGGAUCAAACUCU